UCACAGGUGGAAAUAACUGAGCAUUGCCAAUCCAUAUUGCCAAUACUUGAACCAUUCACUGAAAUGAUUUACUUGAAUAUAUCACAUCUCAUUUAUUAUACCUUCAGCUAUGUAUAAUGAGGAAGUUAAAUUAUGAAUUUUAAGCAAACCCUAAAUUCAUUUGCCAGUUUAUAUUUAUGGUAUUUACCAAUCUUUUAUAAUUUUAAAAGAAAUUGUAGAUGUACCAUCAAUCCGAUUCUCAAAAAUCUGUGUGAGCUCAUGUUUUUGGACUGAUAUUUUUUAAAUUUUAUUUUACAGAGGCAGAAAUGGAAGUUCAGAUAGAUCAAAGGAUAAUUGAUUUACACUGCAGGGAAGUUGCAGACCUGGGACUUGAAUCCAAAUCUUGUGACUGUAUCUCAAGCCUUUAUUCACUCUACAAGAUUGCCUCUAACCUGGAGUUAUCAUCUGAUUUUAAAAUAUAGCUACAAACAUAUAUACAAUAUCUCCCACAAAUUUCAGGUCAUAAGUUUGACAAAUCCAAUUAAUUUUAAAUGUAUAGAGUUAGAAAAGACUAAUUUCCUGAAAGAUCACUUUGCUUAUUUAUUACAUAGUGAAAGUAUCACAGAUGUGCUAGGGUGCUGUUUAAAAUAGCCAUAGCAAAGGCUUAUUAAGCUUACUGUUAACAAGACAGUCUGUUGUGGUUCCCCCAUAGCCUAUGUAUGUCUUUGUUGAAUAUGUUUAACUGCAAGACCUAAGUGUCUUCUGAUCCAGAACCAUUUACUUAAUUUUUCAUGUAGGGUCUCAAGCAGUUCGAGGUGACUAGAACAUGAAUACCUAGGUCCUGCUUGCUCCCUGCUGGAGGGGAAAAUGGCUUGUUUACUGCUUGCUACAAAUUGUGCUGAACUCCUAGUCCUGGGUUCCCCAGCUGUAAUCACCAUCUGGGCCCACUGUUUUACCUCACAGGACUUGGGGGAAUUUGUUCUACUAUUUGAUGCUCCUGAUGUUUGCUGUGAUGAUCUUUCUCUGUCACCCAUGCUGAAAUGCAGUGGCACAAUCUCAGCUCACU
rnacentral:lncRNA from 1 species